UAAAGGAAGCGAUUCCGGCUACGGACGGUCAUGCGUCGCAUUAGCUAGUUGGCGGGGUAACGGCCCACCAAGGCGACGAUGCGUAGGGGUUCUGAGAGGAAGGUCCCCCACACUGGUACUGAGACACGGACCAGACUCCUACGGGAGGCAGCAGUGAGGAAUAUUGGUCAAUGGCCGCAGGGCUGAACCAGCCAAGUCGCGUGAGGGAUGACGGUCCUAUGGAUUGUAAACCUCUUUUGUCAGGGAGCAAAGGGCGCCACGUGUGGCGCUUUGCGAGUACCUGAAGAAAAAGCAUCGGCUAACUCCGUGCCAGCAGCCGCGGUAAUACGGAGGAUGCGAGCGUUAUCCGGAUUUAUUGGGUUUAAAGGGUGCGCAGGCGGAAUGUCAAGUCAGCGGUAAAAUUUCGGGGCUCAACCCCGUCGUGCCGUUGAAACUGGCGUUCUUGAGUGAGCGAGAAGUAUGCGGAAUGCGUGGUGUAGCGGUGAAAUGCAUAGAUAUCACGCAGAACUCCGAUUGCGAAGGCAGCAUACCGGCGCUCAACUGACGCUCAUGCACGAAAGCGUGGGUAUCGAACAGGAUUAGAUACCCUGGUAGUCCACGCAGUAAACGAUGAAUACUAACUGUCCGGGCAGAAUGAUGCCUGG
rnacentral:rRNA from 1 species